CUGAAUCCUUAACCACUAGGCCCUCCGUGAACUCCAGGUAAUGCCUGCUGCUUUGGAAAAAAGCAGAGGUCGAGAGGCUGAAACCAAUAUGUCAAGUUGAGAAGCGAGGAAUUGCAGGAUAGAAACUCGCUUUGUAAAACCAGUACAGCUGAGGAGACAGAAGCAAGGAACUGUGGCUUCACAGAAUCAGUCAAAGCCAUACAAGCCAGAUUCCUUGAAACUUCAAUGUUUACGACACUACCAAGCGCUGAGAUGAAAUCCAGUUCAAUUAAGCAGGUGUUCCCUGAACGGCAGCUCCUUGUCAAGCUCUUUUCUAGGCACUGGGAGCAUCACGCAAAGAGGAUAAAGCAGAGCCAUUUGCUCUCCAAGAGUGGACAGCUUAGGUGUGGAGACCCCACACACACGGGAGCCAGGUAAACCGCUCACCUGGACUGCUGACCUAAGUGCUCGCCCAAGUGCUGCAGCCGGGAGUCAGGGGUUGAGAGCCAAGUGUCGGCCGAACAGUGAAGGAAGACACAGGGCUCCCAGGACCCCUCUCUGAAAGCAACGAGGCCCUGAGGAGUUGUCCUUGUCUGGUCAUCAUCCAAGAAAUUCAGAAUCUUUGGAUGAGGAGGACCACGUGCCCAGCGAGCUCCUCACGGGGGCCAACACCCACCUCUUCACCCACCUCUUCACCUCGAGGUUCUCAGAUUUAAGGUCACUUCCAGACAGGUCUUUCCAGGCCUCUCAGUUUAAAACUAGGUCCUGGAGUUCCCGCUGCAGCUCAGCGGUUAACAAUCCGACUAGGAACCAUGAG